CAGACAUACUUUGCACCUAUCUGUUGCCUUUCACCCCAGGACAUUAAAGAAUGAUAUGUUAAAUGACUAAGUAAGCACAACUUCCCAGUGAGUGUGAUUAUCAUGGUUAUCUUUACAGGCCAAGGCUCCGUCUGUACUACAGCUGGGAUGGAUGCUCUGAGAUUGAUCCACCAGCAGUUGAUUUAGCGGGUCUAGUGAAGACCCGCCAAAUCAACAACAGUUCACUCUCCAGUCAACCCCUGUACUCUACCCCGAUGAGAAGAGUAAGCUCCCUUAGUGUGCUGGGAGCUUUCCAAAUACAGAAGACAAACAAAACAAUAAAGAACUCACAAGUCUAAAGACAGAAAAGCAAACAAAGGGACAGUGGAUUGAGUGAAGCAGAGCAACAAAUAUACCAAUGUGAAAACAAAUAUGUUAAAGUAGGACUAACACAGCUACCACUCUGAAAGAAGAUACAGAAAAAUUUGUGUGAGAAGCUGACAAAUGGGCGGUCAAAGCUGACAUUACUGAUGGAGAGAAGCCUGGGAGAGCAGUAAUUGAGAGGUGCUGCAGGGAAGGAGAAAUGGAGGGAAGGAAGCAGGAGAAAUACAAAGGACAAGGAGGAAAACACCAGGAAGGUGGGGGGAAAACAGAAAAUGGAGGAUAGGAAAGGAAGAGAAGCAAGGUCGGAUAUCAUACUAGUCCUAAAAUGGAGCAUAUUUUCACCCUGAGUGAUGCAGAAUAUGGCAAUAGUAAAAAAUAACUAAAAGUGUAACUACUACAUAAAGGCCACAUUCCACCAUUGCACUUUGUGCACACCUCCUGUUGACAACUGAAAGAGAUUCACUGUGGAUUAAGGGAAGCACAUAGUUCUAAAUUUAUACCAUGAACCAUGAUCUGGAAUUCAUCUCUCUCCAGUGAAUGAUCGAUCCCCUGAUCGAUAAUGAACAAAGCAUCUACCUCAAAUCUGUUGAGAUUUUUUUUCUUUUUGCACAUAUUUUUUGGUAUGUAUGUGUCCUAUGAGAUUUAAAUAAAAUCCUAUCUCCCUAGCCCACUGCUAUAGUCAGUAACACUCAAUAACAAAGCUCAAUCCUGGAUUCAAGCAAAAUAGGAUGAUUGGUCACAACACUCCUGUUGGUCCUGCUUGCACAGUUCCUAUAUGCUUCUGACCAUGUUUAUCUACUCUGCCUUGGUGGUCUAGUCAGCACUGGUGGCGUGGUAAAUGAUAGCUCCCCAAUGACUGCCAAAUCCACUGCCCCAGUCUCAAUUGAGGUGGUGUUACCAAUAAUUACAUCUCCCUCCUAAGUCCCUGAUACUCUUAUGACAUGAAGGUUAAGUCGUUGUUUUGAAAGAAAACACACUUUAUUGACACCUAAAGCUGCCUUCAACUGGAUAUUCUGUAGCAUUAAAAAUGAUUGUUAAUAAUAAUUAACACUGGGCUCAAUAGUGUUUGCUCACAAAGUAGGGAAGAAUAAUUCCCUCCGCUGCAGAAAUUAGUGUGUCAAAUACCGUGCCCUGCAUUAUGCAGGAGUUCAGACUGAGAGGUCACAGUGCUUACUUCUGUCCUUAAAACCUAUGACCAUCAUUCAAUGCUUCAUCUUAACAAAUCUGAAUUAACACCUCGGUGAUUUAGGGACCGAAAGGAUUAUUAUCCUUAUUGUAACACAUGUGAUCAGGAUUCAGGCAGUGGAGUAGGCAGCAAUAGUGGUGUGGUUUACCAGCUCAUCCCCACUCUACUGGUAACAAACACAAGGCCAGAUAAUCUGAUUUCAGGUCGAGGUUGGGGAGCUAAUUGGCCAACUGCAUGGGAAUAAGGAUUUCCCUUUUUUAGUUUUAAUUUCAACCUAUAUGGGCUACUUCUAUAGCAAAAUUACCUGAAGUUUUCCAUUGUCAUUCCAUAAACUCCACCAAGGAAAACAUGGCUCUUAGUAUUUUACCCUGAGUUUCUACAAAAUCCCAGAUUAUGUGGUAAUACCAAAAACAAAACAAAACAAAACAAAACUGUUUGCUUAAUCAUAUAAAAAUAAUUUCUUCCCCCAUUCUAAUAGUCUUAGGUAAUAGUAGGCAGCAGGAGAAGGCAGUGAGGACACAGGGCUUUUGUUUCUUUUUGAGCUGAAAGCAAUA